rnacentral:rRNA from 1 species
UACAGAGGUCUCAAGCGUUGUUCGGAUUCAUUGGGCGUAAAGGGUGCGUAGGCGGCGCCGUAAGUCGGGUGUGAAAUUUCGGAGCUUAACUCCGAAACUGCAUUCGAUACUGGCGUGCUUGAGGACUGGAGAGGAGACUGGAAUUCAUGGUGUAGCAGUGAAAUGCGUAGAGAUCAUGAGGAAGACCAGUGGCGAAGGCGGGUCUCUGGACAGUUCCUGACACUGAGACACGAAGGCCAGGGGAGCAAACGGG